GGACACAGUUGCAGUGGUGCUGUUGUGGUGGGGUUGGGUGUAGCAGCAGAGUGUGUCUGGUUUGGUGAAAUUUGACUGAGAGUGCCACGACCCACGAGUCUACAGGUUAUUGUUAUUGCAGGUAUUGCAGGCAGCAUAUCCUGGAAAUUCCCAUGCUGCCUUAUGUGCUCGUUCCGAUCUGAAGGACAGCAACCCAGGCUGAAAUCCUUGGCUAAGUUUGGGGCAGCAACACCAGAAUAGGUGGAGCAAAUGUGUUUGCAGCUGCAUGAUGGGGGGUUCCCAAAGAGACAACAACAUCUUUGUCGCUCCACCAACGAUGGGAGUUUUUUGUGAUCCCUGCAUGACUGGGUCUGUAAUCUUCCCGAAUUUCCCAGACAGUUCUAUAUGGUACAAUUACAGGUGGUUUUGCUCCCCGCUCAGCAGCAUGCCGUGCUCCCAGAAGUUGAAACAACAAAGACGGUACUUUGGGAAUACCAAGUCUUCUCAUAAGCUGCAGUCAGCAUUUGGCCAUUCCAGUGCAAA